GAAACUUGUGUAAUCCAAUAGAAAUUGAUGUAUAAUGUUACCAUUGUAAUUUUGCAAUAUGUAUGGUAUUAAUGAAGUCCAUCAAAUUACUAAGAAUAAUAUUUGUUUUCAAAUAAGAUGCAAGAAGCGGAUGCUAAAAGGUGACCGCAAGGUCUUUAUGUCCAUUAUUUAUGGCUGCAUGUAGUCCGAAUAAUUAUGACGUCUUGAAAGGCUAUUAUAUUUUUUUUCUUUGACGCCUUACUUCGACAGUAAGGCGUCAAAGAAAAAAAAUAUAAUAGCCUUUCAAGACGUCAUAAUUAUUUGGACUAGGCUGCAUGAUCUCCAAGAACGGCUGAGUAAUAACUUCUGGUACCGUUUUUCCCUUAAUAUUUACGAUUCUAUUUUUCUAUUUAUCGUGCUUCGUUUUUCCCGAUUUUUAUUUUUCGUGCAACGUUUUUGCGAUUUUUAUUUCACGUGUUUCCGUGUUCAGUACCCCCCUUUACCACCC
rnacentral:lncRNA from 1 species